rnacentral:rRNA from 1 species
CUACAGGAUGCAGCAGUGGGGAAUAUUGCACAAUGGGCGAAAGCCUGAUGCAGCAACGCCGCGUGAGCGAUGAAGGCCUUCGGGUCGUAAAGCUCUGUCCUAAAGGAAGAAUUUUUGACGGUACUUUAGGAGGAAGCCCCGGCUAAUUACGUGCCAGCAGCCGCGGUAAUACGUAAGGGGCUAGCGUUAUCCGGAAUUACUGGGCGUAAAGGGUACGUAGGCGGUUUAUUAAGUCAGGGGUGAAAGGCUACGGCUCAACCGUAGUAAGCCUUUGAAACUGAUAAACUUGAGUAUGGUAGAGGAAAGUGGAAUUCCUGGUGUAGCGGUGAAAUGCGUAGAUAUCAGGAGGAACAUCGAUGGCGAAGGCAGCUUUCUGGGCCAUUACUGACGCUGAGGUACGAAAGCGUGGGGAGCGAACAGGAUUAGAUACCCUUGUAGUC